AAAAAGAUAAGCUAAAUAAGCUGAUGGGUUCAUACCCCGUAUAUAAAGGUUCAGUCCUUUUCUUUUUA
rnacentral:tRNA from 1 species